AUACUCCUGACUGACCGAUAGUGAACCAGUACCGUGAGGGAAAGGCGAAAAGAACCCCGGCGAGGGGAGUGAAAAAGAACCUGAAACCGUGUACGUACAAGCAGUGGGAGCACAGGUUUACCUGUGUGACUGCGUACCUUUUGUAUAAUGGGUCAGCGACUUAUAUUCUGUAGCAAGGUUAACCGUAUAGGGGAGCCGGAGGGAAACCGAGUCUUAAUUGGGCGUUAAGUUGCAGGGUAUAGACCCGAAACCCGGUGAUCUAGCCAUGGGCAGGUUGAAGGUUGGGUAACACUAACUGGAGGACCGAACCGACUAAUGUUGAAAAAUUAG
rnacentral:rRNA from 1 species